AGACAUAUCAAAAUGUGCGAGUGCUUU
rnacentral:sRNA from 1 species